CCUACGGGUGGCAGCAGUGGGGAAUAUUGGACAAUGGGGGGAACCCUGAUCCAGCCAUGCCGCGUGUGUGAAGAAGGCCCUCGGGUUGUAAAGCACUUUCAGUGAGGAAGAACGCCUGGUGGUUAAUACCCAUCAGGAAAGACAUCACUCACAGAAGAAGCACCGGCUAACUCCGUGCCAGCAGCCGCGGUAAUACGGAGGGUGCGAGCGUUAAUCGGAAUUACUGGGCGUAAAGCGCGCGUAGGUGGCUUGAUAAGCCGGUUGUGAAAGCCCCGGGCUCAACCUGGGAACGGCAUCCGGAACUGUCAAGCUGGAGUGCAGGAGAGGAAGGUAGAAUUCCCGGUGUAGCGGUGAAAUGCGUAGAGAUCGGGAGGAAUACCAGUGGCGAAGGCGGCCUUCUGGACUGACACUGUCAAUGAGGUGCGAAAGCGUGGGUAGCAAACAGGAUUAGAUACCCUAGUAGUC
rnacentral:rRNA from 1 species